GCACCUGUAGCUCAGGGGAUAGAGCAUCGGACUUCUAAUCCGACGGUCGCAGGUUCGAAUCCUGCCAGGUGCA
rnacentral:tRNA from 1 species